rnacentral:rRNA from 1 species
AACGAACGCUGGCGGCAUGCCUAACACAUGCAAGUCGAACGAGACCUUCGGGUCCAGUGGCGCACGGGUGCGUAACGCGUGGGAAUCUGCCCUUGGGUCCGGAACGACAGUUAGAAAUGACUGCUAAUACCGGAUGAUGACUUCGGUCCAAAGAUUUAUCGCCCAGGGAUGAGCCCGCGUCGGAUUAGCUAGUUGGUGAGGUAAAGGCUCACCAAGGCGACGAUCCGUAGCUGGUCUGAGAGGAUGAUCAGCCACACUGGGACGGAGACACGGCCCAGACUCCUACGGGAGACAGCAGUGGUGAAUAUUGGACAAUGGGCGAAAGCCUGAUCCAGCAGUGCCGCGUGAGUGAUGAAGGCCUUAGGGUUGUAAAGCUCUUUUACCCGGGAUGAUAAUGACAGUACCGGGAGAAUAAGCCCCGGCUAACUCCGUGCCAGCCGCCGCCGUAA